rnacentral:rRNA from 1 species
GCACGGGUGAGUAACGCGUAUCCAACCUUCCGCUUACUCGGGGAUAGCCUUUCGAAAGAAAGAUUAAUACCCGAUGGUAUCUUAAGCACGCAUGAGAUUAAGAUUAAAGAUUUAUCGGUAAGCGAUGGGGAUGCGUUCCAUUAGGCAGUUGGCGGGGUAACGGCCCACCAAACCUACGAUGGAUAGGGGUUCUGAGAGGAAGGUCCCCCACAUUGGAACUGAGACACGGUCCAAACUCCUACGGGAGGCAGCAGUGAGGAAUAUUGGUCAAUGGGCGAGAGCCUGAACCAGCCAAGUAGCGUGAAGGAUGACGGCCCUACGGGUUGUAAACUUCUUUUGUGCGGGAAUAAAGGAACCUACGUGUAGGUUUUUGCAUGUACCGUAACGAAUAAGCAUCGGCUAACUCCGUGCCAGCAGCCGCGGUAAUACGGAGGAUGCGAGCGUUAUCCGGAUUUAUUGGGUUUAAAGGGAGCGUAGACGGGUUUUUAAGUCAGCUGUGAAAGUUUGGGGCUCAACCUUAAAAUUGCAGUUGAAACUGGAGACCUUGAGUACGGUUGAGGCAGGCGGAAUUCGUGGUGUAGCGGUGAAAUGCUUAGAUAUCACGAAGAACCCCGAUUGCGAAGGCAGCCUGCUAAGCCGCCACUGACGUUGAGGCUCGAAAGUGCGGGUAUCAAACAGGAUUAGAUACCCUGGUAGUCCGCACGG